AUAGAACAAUCUACAAACAUCUGCUGACCAUCAGUACGUGUCAGCUGACCACUAACCUUUGCUCCUCUUCUGUAAAUUUCGCCAGUUAACUUCCCUUGCAACCCCCUAUAAAAAGAGCCUCGGACUCUGGGCUAGUCGCCUCUCUAAGAUACUUUGCUUUGGGAGUGCCGUCUGGCCAGACUAAGAUCUGUUUUACUUUCCAACUUGCCCGGGUGUUCUUCGCUGCAGUCAGCUCCUCGGAGCGUUUGAGAGACCCCUGUGGCUGCUGUGUGGGUAUGGAGUGGAGGUGUCAAGACUGGAGGCUUGCAUAGAUUGCUACAGUGAUCCCAGCUGUGGAACACCGUGGAGUGAGGAAGAGGACAGAGGGAGAGAACUUUUGUGACAUGGAAGGGGACAGGCUGGACCCUGCCUUUUAGAUGGACAUGCAUGCACAAGUGAGGCCAUGUCUCUGAAGCUCCCUAAGAAACCAAAGGAAAAGUAUCUGUUGGACUGGAUGCAGAGAGGUCAGGAAGCCUCUUGUCCUGGGAGGUGGCUCUGGCACAGCAGAACACUUCCAGGAUGUUGCUCCUAUGAGAUGCACUUUAGACCUUGCUGGUGACAGCAACAUUUUGCUGACUCAGAGCAGCUGGAGAUAUGAAUUUCUAUCCUGUGUCUAGUCCAGGGGAAUGACUGACAAAGCUUCUGGCAAAGCCAGAUCCCAGGGCAGCCCUGGCUGAGCUGUCUUGUCUGGAUCACUGGUGCUCAAGAAACCAAAACAAAACACAAAACAUAGCUGAAUAGAAGAAUUAGCCCAAUGCAUACUUAAUCCGACUCUAUCCUGACUUCUGUGCAUUGUGACUUUGUCCAACACUUCAUUCAAGAUUUAUAUCCCUUAAUAUCAAGAAAUCAACCAACAACAAAUGCUAGCAGGAAUGUAGGGAAAAAGAAACCCUUCUCCACUGUUGAUGGGAGUGCAAACUGGUGUAACCACUGUGGAAAUCAGUAUGGAGAAUCCUCAAAAAACCAGGAUUAGAGGUCCCAGUUGACCCAGUUAUUCUUCUGGGUAUCUUCCCCAAAGAAUUAAAAGCAUCAUACCACAGCAAUAUAUGCUUACUCAUGUUUAUAGGCAACACUGUUUGUAAUAGCUAAAUCUUGGAAACAACCCAAAUGCCCAUCAACUGAUGAAUGGAUAAAGAAGAUGUGUUUUUUCUAUACAAUGGAGUAAUAUUCAGCCAUAAAGAAGGAUAAAUGCAAGACAUUAAUAGCUAAAUGGAUGCACCUUAAAGCUAGACUUUAAAGUGAAAUAAUGGAACAUGCAUAUGUAAAUAUUGCAUUGUCUCUCUGGUGUAAGAAACUGAAAAUGUAAAUAGGGACUAAAAUGUAUAAUGGACAAUGUGAAAUAAGAAAACAGUUAUUCAAUAGGAAGGGGGAACUAAAGGUGAGGAGGGGAAGGAAGGAAGGAUAAAAAUGAGAAAAGAAGGAAAAAUGGAAAUAAGGCUUUUGUAAAUAAGGAAGGGGAAGAGGGGUUGAAGGGAGGGAAAGGGAAUGGGAAGAAAAGGAGUCAAGAUACAUCAUGUAAAGAUACGAAUUUCCUAUGAUGAAUGUGAUCAUUAUGUAAAUCUAAAUUGUACCAAUAAAAUUAAAAAUGACCAAAAGAAAAGAUUUAUAGCCCUGUGAAGAGUCUACUUGGCAUUCUUUCCCCAGGUCUGGGUCAACAACAAUCCUACUGUUACUGAGUUUUGUGGUGCUAAGGACUCCUUUUAGAGAUUCUUUCUAGAUUAUUUUUGUUCUGAACAAAGAAUUGGACAAAACAAGUGCAAAUUAAAGACAGGAAAAGAAAUAUGUUCUGAAGAAUGAAUAUAGGCCAAUUAAAAGUAGGAAAAGAAGUAUGCUCUACAAAGUGCAAGUGAGCCACUGUGAAAGAGAGAGCACAAUAGCUUUGAGCUCAAUAGCUACAAUCUUUAUCUCACACUCCUCAGGCUGAUGUCAUAUCUAGAUCAUCAUAUCAAAAAGCUGCUUGAGUUCUCAUGAGAAGAACUGAAGAUAGCACUUUCUGAUUGGUUCCAGGUGCAGGGCUUGAGUGCAUGUUUCCUGGAUCUUUGUGAUUGACAGGUCACACUCACUUGCCCAGCUGGCUGUCCACACCCUAAUCUCCUGCCUCACUGUAAAGCACUGGUGGUAAACCUAUAGCAUUCAUGCUGCAGGCUGUUUGUAUCGUUGAAAGCUCUAAAAGGUUCACCAUCAUUGUUGUAGAGGGAGUGGAUGUGAAUUCUGGCUGUAGGACAUAGUCUAUAUUUUUUCCACUCUUGCCCCCUGCAUUUCUGGGAAUGUCUUAACUAAGAGGAAAGGAAAAUCGUAGUUACCUGGUUAGAUUGGUGCUUUAUGGUAAGAUGUCUUGUCUUGGAGCAUAGAAUAUAUUUUUGCAGCAUUACCUAAGACCAAUGUGAGGAAUUCCUGAUCAGUUAAGAGUUGCUCACUGUGAUGUGCAUAGCAAGGAUGGGAAGGCAGGGGAACAGUGAAAAUAAGACAGCCAUGUCCUGAUCUCCACCUUUUCUAAGAAAGCAGUCCUAUCUGACCAAGACUGAAAGCAAAUCUCAAUAAGGUGUUUUUGUUUGUUUGUUUUUUUGGUACAGGGAGUGGAACUCAGGACCUUGUGCUUGCCAGGCAGGUGCGGUGCCACAGAGCUAAAUCCCUGGCCCUCAACAAGGUGUUUUUAAAGCCUUAGUCACUGCUAAACAUUUUCUUUCAUGGACAUUGCAUUAGUCCAUUUCUAUAGCUAUAACAAAAAUACCAGAGACUGGGUACUUUAUAAAGAAAAGAGGAUUAUAUAGCUCAUGAUUUUGGAGGCUGAAAGUCCCAAGAUCAGGCUGCCAUGUCCGUCUAGCCCCUAGUAAAGGCCCUUUCUCCUACAUCACAAUGUGGCAGAGAAGCAAAAAGGGAAAUUGCCACCUCUGGAGGAGGUCAACUGCAUGGGGUGGUUUCAACUUAUAAAAACCCAUACUCAAGAGAACUAACUAGGUCCUUUGAGAACUACAUUAAUCCCUUCUGAACACAGCACCUCCAGUAAUCUAAUUCCUUUCUACUAGGCCCCACAUCUUAGGUUCUACCACCUCUCAACAUUACCACAUAGAGAACCAAGUUUCCAGCACAUGAAGCCCAGGAAACACACUUGAACCAUAUCCAAACCACAACAGCCAUGUUAUCCAUGAUCUUGUGUGAUCUUGAUCCCAGCCCUUGAAACUCUCCAUCCUCUGAAAUUACCUGAACUUAUCUGAACUUAGUGAUUAUGCCACUUAUCUGUCAUGUGACAUAUUGCCUUGAGGUUGUUAUUUUAUAAGUAAUAGAAAUAACUCAUGUUUAGAGAGAACUUGCUAUGUACUAGGCCCUUUACAAAUAUUUAAUUUUGACAACAAAGCUCAGAGGCAAGAAUUGUUAUUGUCUCUAUUUUAUAGAUGAAUAAACCAGCACUUUAAGAGAUAGUAUGUAGCUUGUCCAGUUAUGCAGCUAGAAGCAAGCAGUGGAGCUGGACCUUGGGCCCUUAUCACUCAUGAGCUAGCAACCUUGGCUUUCUCAUCUCUAGGAACUACAAUGUAAGCUCUUGGAGAGCCAAUGUUAUGAUUCAGUUUUUUGCUAUGUUCAACACACAGCCACUGAUUGAUUGCCUGCUUGAUUCUCAAGAUUAUUUUAAACAAAACAGAAUAUGUUUCUUUUAAGGAGCCCAAAUCCCUUAGAAGAUCAUUUCCAACUUGAUUCUAAAGAAUCUCUGAGCAAUAGCAAUCUAUUACUUCCCAAUCUUGUGGUCAUCUCCCCUCUCCCAGCCCCCACACUGACCUUUUCUUCACACACACACACACACACACACACACACACACACACACACACACAGAGUACUAAGAUAAAGGCAAGAGUAAGAGAGACAGGGGCUCAAAUCUAAUUAAGACAAGACUUUGAAGUGAUUAAAUCAAAGUUUCACAAGAAUGCCAAAUUCAAUUUUAGUUGGGGGUGGGGGGAGACUGAACCCUUGAAGCCCUGCCUAUUUUGGUUAUGGGUCAUAGUUUAAAUAUUCUUUGCACUUUUCUCCAAAGACUGCAAUUAAAUUAGAAUGUGGUUUACAGAACAUGUUAUUUAUUAUGUACUUGUGUCUCCUGAUUAUGCUUGUCUGCCUGCAGCUUUUUUGAGCCACCAGGGAAGGUGUGCUUUAUAUAGCAAGAGAGGGUAUGUGUGAAAUGUUCUUUGAAUAAUGACUGCAAGGUGCUCAGAGAAGCCUUGACUUUAUUUAGACAUUUAAUUUCUUCACAGUUUCCUCUCUGAGAGGACUCUUGGCUUCAUUUCCAGACAGCAUGCAUGUGGUCAAAUCCUGUGCAUCCCAGUGGCAGAUGCUUGAGAUACCUCCUUUCCAGAUGAACCUGGUCCCUUCUGAAAGCAUCUACUGAGUACAUUGGACACAUAUGACACCCUGACAAACCAAAAGACAGAAGAGUCAUUGGGCCGAUACUGGCUGAGUGUCCUGAUUCUGCUGGGAGACUCGAAGCAGGCAGUGCUCAGUCUUCUUUUGCAAGGGACCCAACUUUCAGAAUCAUGACAUGUCCAGUAACCUCCAACACAGCAGCAAGGACAAACCAGACUCCCUCCAGCUAUCAAGGGCAUCUUGGGAUACUGUUCCUUAGCUUGUAGUCAGAGUAUGGGGAUAGGAAAGGAACUUUCUUUGGGGUGUCCACUCCCAGACUCUCUCCCAAGAAAAAAGGUAUUCCAAAACAUCUCAUGAAGCACCUGAAGGACUGCACGAGUACUGAGUUAGGUGACUAAAAAUCUCAGGGAUGUAGAGGCCCCUAAAAACUGGGAUUCCCUUCUGAGAUGUUAGGUUGACUUUGUUCCUGAAUUGUAACAAGAUGAUUUUUACCUUCACAAGAAAUUGCCUUUGUUUUAUUGUUUGGUGGCUGUUCCACAACUCUCAGAUCUGUGUUUCCACAGCUUCCCUUGAUCCAAAAACAGGACACGCCAAGGAGAUGAAAAGCUUGGCUGAGCUGAGUUCUAAGGGAAGUCCUGGUCAUUACAGAGAAAAUGUUCCUCCAGAAAGACACUGAGUUCCUCAUAAUGUGAGAACCUUCUUUGAUGUGUUUUUUUUAUUGGGUAUAAUGUUAAGGCAUUGGAGCCAGGAAUACCUGGGUUUCCACUGUGGGAUUCCAUACCCAGGCAGCCCAGCAGAAGCCCAUAGACAUCUACCUCAGGGCGGAGGCUGGGAUCCCCUGAGGAAGGACUUCCUAAUUAUUAGUCACCUUGCAAUACGGGGUAGAGGGCUUCCCAUCACUAAAAAUGUUCCAGCAGAGACUGCACAACCACAAAGGACUCCACAGUAUUAGAAUCUGUAACCUCUAAGACCUAUUUCUUUGCAGCCCUAUUAAAUUGAAAACUUCUGAAAGUGGUGGUUUUUAUAUCCUUCUCCCCUAGAACCAUGUGGGAGGAAGGAAGGAAGGAAUAUAUGUUCCCCACAGCCAAGAGGCAUCAGACCCCUGAUGAUUUGGAAGCUCUGAUUACUAUCUAGCCCUGGAUUACCUAGCCUUAACAUCAUCAUUUUUCUACCAUUUUAUUCCUUCCUUGCAAGACCAGCUGAGUUUUGACCCUUUAUCUCAGCAAGUUAGCAGGAACUGAAGAUGUCAGUGUUGUACCUGUUCAGGGAACCAGAGUUAGAAUCCAUGCAACUCUACAUCUACCCCCAUCUCCUACUGAGACAGAUUCAUGUCUGUGUCCGAACACCAGAGCCAUGGGGAGGAGGUGCUCACCCAGGUGGGAUUUGAAGGUGUCCAGGACUUUCUUUCCAUAUAGACACCACCAUGGUUAUCAUUCAAAUCUUGCUUUAUCUCAAGGGCUUGCUUUUGGAAGGGGGACUAAGGACCAGUCUUCAUCUCCCAAGCAAUGUGAUUCUGUGGCAUUGGAAUUGCUUUUAAAAAAAUUAAAAACUAAAAGAAUGCAAAAAAUAUAUUUGAAACUUUCUCCCUUGGAAUAAGGUGAUUUCCUUACAAAUGUAACUCCCUUGGGAGUUGAUUCCUUAACUCUAUAGCACCCUCUGAAUUUUUAAGCAAGCCUAAUCUAUUAAAUUAACUAAAACAGAUACAGAAAGAAGGGAUGCAUAACUCAUCCACAAGUGUGCUGGUUUUCCGUAUGAUGGGUGAUAGGUUGGAGGGAGGGGAAUGUUUAGAUCCAGAGUCCAAAGAAAUCCCUGGGCUGCAGGUCACCGUAAGAAUCAGUCACUCUUGCAUGAUCAACCUGUGUUUCUUGGAGACCUUGGGAUGGGUGGAAAUCUAUCUCCUCUUUCAACGCAGCACCUCUGCUCUGUUCUGCUUUGUAGACUGGGCUGGCUCCUAAGAUUCUCUCUGGAGGGCUCUUAGCUGAGGACAGCAGGACGUUGCUGAUGCUGUCUAUGUGUCCUAUAUUGCUGAUGAGGGGUCUAGGGCUCAAGACAGGAGAGGAGUUCACAGUCAUGGGAUUGUUUGCACAGGAAUGGACCAGGGCUCAUUGCCCUUGUGCAGCCAGGCUUGGUGGAUAUUGAGGUAGCUACUGCUCUAGUGCUACAAGAGGAGAAUGAGAUGAAGAGCACUUUCUGAGAAAGGCCAUGGGGUCUCAAGUUUAAAAGGACAAGACAGAGGAGGGGAGAAGGCAGUUGGAAGUUCCAGGUGCUAAGUGUUUUCAGUCAAGGGAUCUUUGAGUUUGUCAAGAGAGGAAGAGUAUAAGCUUGACAAUUCUGCACACUGUUCAGAGACUGCUUACACCCUGACUUCUCUAGGAUAGGUGUGCUAACCAUGGAACCUGCAGUCUGUCUAUGGUAGACUUCAGAGAGCCCUCAAACUUCCUGAACUUGUAUCAAAACAUGAUGUACCUGGGCAUUGCUCUGCAUCCAGAGUCUAAGAAGAGGGGGAUUUUAUAGUCAUUACAUUUUCAAAGGGGUUAAGGGACACUGUAAAUCAUUGCCUCUUGGAAACUUUGUGCCCAGAUUGCCUGGCUCUUUCUUCAAAUAACUUCUUUGGCUUGCCCCAUACUUCCUCCAGGGUAGGAAUAAAAGCUGCACUUAAGUCUCCAAAUUUGGAAUUGCUAUUUUGCUGCUAGAUUGCUCAUUUGUGUGUGUGGGAGGACUCAGGGAGGGAGGAGGGAGGAAUGAGAAAGACUGCAUUCCAUAAAUGUGUUAUGUGUGUGUGUGUGUGUGUGUGUGAGUGUGUGUGUGUGUGUGUGUGUGUGUACGUGUGGUGUGGUGACAGUCAGACCAGGAGGUGCUGCGUUUUCUUCCCUCUUCCUUUUUUCCGUUUGGAUGAGAAGCACCUCUGCUUUGAAGGCCUGCCUUUGCCAUUGCUUCAAAAGCUUUUCUUGUUGCUUUCUGAUCCUCAUGGCCUUCCAGGGCUUGGCUUUGGUCCUGUGUGAGCCAGCAACUUGAGCCAAUGGCAGCAGCAGAAACCAAGAUAGCUCUGAAAAAAUAUUUGCUUAAUUAGCAAAAAUGAUCUGUGAUCAGAAUCCAUGUUUAACUGCCUGGCCUGGUGCCAAGCCUGAUGAAUUUUCCUUCAAAACUGAUUUUGAUUUUGAACUGAGAAGAUCCAACCUGCAUACUGGGGAAGGCAAAUGCCCAGGUCUGCUUAGACUAGGGGUUUUUUCCUGUCAAACAUACAUUGGGGAAAUCAGAGUGGGGGUGGGGGAGCUGGUCUGUGUCAGCCAGCAAGCAGUGGCAAGGGGACCUGGCUGUCACUGUGGCUAGUUCUUUAGUGAGGGUGAAGGCAUGGUGCUUGCUCUGUGGUGUGUAGGUGAGCUUCGAAGGAAGGUGGUCUCAGAGAACUGGUUUGUGGGGAGCUGAGCCCCAUAAAUGACAGGGCUGAAUAAUUUAUGGCUCUGAAUAUGUUACAGGAGAGGUGCCUUGGAGAGUAGCCUUGGGGUCAUGGAGAGAGAGUCUGCUGGUACAGGGGCGACAGCGAUAUGGAGCAAGGAAGUGACUGGUCUUAUGGAACCACCUCAAUUUGCCUUUAAGUCAAAGUGGCCUGUGGAAAUCCCAAGGAUGAGUCAAGAAUCUGCUGAGGAGGUGACAAGCCCAGACAAACCUAAAGUUUUUUUCGGCCCCCGAAGUUAGGGUCACUCAGGUUACUCUCUGACCCUUCAGACUUGUCUAGUACCUCUAGAAUUCUUUUUAGGACUCUCGAGCUGUCCUUAGGUUAAUUCAGGCCAUUUUGAAUUGUCACCUUGGAAGUAGAUUUGCCAGUUCCCAAGGGACUUCUCUUACAGAAAGACAGGUUUCUUCCAGGGGAAGCCAGGGGCUGUCCAGCUAUCUUUGGGGGUGUCCUGAGAGCCUUCUGAUUGCCCCUCCACAUCUGUCAACUACCCUAUUUUCCUAAUGAGACUGGCCUGCAUAGGCAGUGACCCUGAACUCCAGCUUCUGGUUGGCUUAGCCAAUGGGGAGCCCACGAAGCUCAAAAAGAAAGGCUGAGGUGCCAGCAUAUAUUUCACCCUGCACGCCUUCCCUCCUUGGCCUCCUUUCCAUUUCUUUUUCCCUCUUCCAGGUCUGUUGGCCACUCUCUCCCCUCACCUCUCCAGGUCUCUGCAUUUAGUACGAGCCAGGCUGCAGGACCCUGCUGGUUUCCCUGAACUCUCUUCCCCUUCAUAACUUGCCCUUUUGUUUUGCCUUCCUGGAAUUAUCCUGAUUAGAGUUGGUAUGGUCUCUUGCUAGGUUCCCGAUCCAAACAGGAAAUUGUCUUUUCUGGGCCUUUCUAGACUUUGUUAACCUCAUUUUCUGAGGAUAAAGCUCCCCAAAGGCAUAUAUUACAGAGCAAACAUAUGAUGGAAAAGUUUGUUUUUAAAACCUCCAAACAAAAAAUAAGUACUGGAGUGCAAAGGUGCCUAUAGUAUUAAGGCCCUUACUUGGCUGGUUGGUCAGGGCUCUGAGCUAUGCAGUAACUCGGCUAAAUGAUCUUGCAGCAAGGGCUGAUCUCAAGGGUGGGGUGGCUUCUACCAAUUCCACAGAGGUGUGGAUCAGAAUGGGAGUUCCCAUUUGUCUCCUAGGAUCCUUCAUUACCUACUGGCAGCUUAAUAGAAAUUCUGUCUCUAGCCCUCUUGGGGACCUGACUUUAUUAUAUUUAAAGCCUACUACUAUCCUAUGGAUACCUCCACUCUCUCCAGCUCUAACUAGUGGGGGCCAGGCUGACGAACUCUGCAGGUGAUCAGGAAAAGCUCUGGUGCAGACACAGGAUGAAGGAGACAGGGUAGGACAGUGUUCUUUCACCAUGAAAAUAAAUUGUGUGUUUGUGAGGAGUCUGUAGAAAGACUUAAAAUCAGAGAGGCAGAGGGCCAGAGUGGGUGUCCAGUGAACUACAAUUUCUGUGAGGAUCUCUAUAGUCAUUGUUUUGGACAGAGGUCUCAGUGGGCAGACAGAGGGCUGUUAGGGAGAAACUUAUCCUUACACAGUCUUAGGAAUGAGGGUUUGUGUGCUGAGAAGUUCAGGGAAGAGGGGUAAACCACAGGAACCAGCCAGUUCAGAGGCCUCAAAGGGGCUGCUUUUGUGAGUCACUAUGGAGAGAUCUUGUAGGUCCCUUGUAUAGAGAUACUUGCCCAUCCUGAGAUUAGAAACCCAGAUCCUGGGGUUUUGCUCUCUCUGUUCCUGUGAGCACCACCCAGCCACACUACUUCCCCUGGCACCUAUGGUCGAAUCCACUUUGCAGACUCUCCAACAUUUUUACAAGCAACUUCCUUGUUCCCCACUUCAGAUACCAAUAGCCAGCGCCACUUCUCCCAAGCUGGGUUCCUACACCACUUCCUCUAAGUUUCCAACUUUUGAUAAUCUUACCUUCUUCCUUUUGUUACCUUAGCCUUCGAGGUGAUGCUUUUUUUGUUUUAACCUUCUCAGUCACAAGUUAGCAC
rnacentral:lncRNA from 1 species